AUGGAUGUGAUGAUUAUAUCCCCAAAUGAUCGAAGCCGAAAUUAUUGAGCGCUCUUUAGGUAUUUUCUUCAU